CUCUUACACACCCAGGCGCGCGCGCAUCCCCAGGCCAUGGGGCGCACGUGAGCCCACGCCCCGCGCGCCCAGCCCUGCCCCUCGCCGGAGCAUCCUCCGCAGCUGCCACAGAAGCCGCCGCCUCCUCCUUCUCCUCCUCGUCCACCUCCUCCUCUUCCUCCUUCUACGGCCACCGCCGCGGCUGUUGUGACUCCCAUCCCCUCUUGUCCUCAUUCCUCUCCCAGUACUUGCUCCUCCUCCCAUCCCCGGCGCCUGCUGCCCGGCGCCGAAGGGCAGAACCCUCGGCAACGGCUCCCCUCCGCUCGGGCCACGAAGAGGCUGGAACAGCCCAGUACUCCAGCCAUUCUGAGCUCAUUUUGAAUCUCAGUUUUGUUCUUCAACAAAUUUGAUAUCCCCGCCAGUUUUGGGUCAUCUUCAGACGUGAUGCAUCCUAACUUAACUCAUCAAUCCCGUAUUGAUGGAGGUUUACAUCAUUGGCGAAUUUUUGCUGUUGUGUAAGCAGUGAUGCAUGAUGAACUUUCUUUGCUGGCUUGAGAUGUGGUGCUGUUUGCUGGGUUUUGCCUCCCCUGGAUUCCCUAUCCAUCUGGGAUCUUGUUUUCAAUGUUACAAAUGUCAAAGGCUGCUUCUACUGAAGAAAUAAACUAAAGAAGGGUCUGCCAACUCCUUGCUCAUCAUGUUUUGAGUUUGCAAAUCUAAGCCUUAUCCUUCUUUGAAGGGUAGUUAAAGAUGUUUGAACUCUCUAGGGCCUUAGGAGAACCAAGAACCAAGGUACCCCAAGACCAAGUCUGGAGUGAUAGACAGGUUCUCCCCAUCACAUACCGCCAGCUCUGCCAACUGAGGCCAGUUGCCAGGCCCUGUUAUAGUUUCUUUCCUUCUCAUCUUCACACUUUCUCUCUUCUAUGGAGUCUUCCUCCCUGUACACAUGUACCUCCCAGACUAAAUUAGAAGCCACCUGCUCUGAACUUCCAGAACAUGUUAAGAGUGUGGGCUUGAGAGUCAAACCUGUGUUUGAAUAUC